rnacentral:rRNA from 1 species
CCUACGGGAGGCAGCAGUAGGGAAUCUUCCACAAUGGGCGAAAGCCUGAUGGAGCAACGCCGCGUGGGUGAAGAAGGUCUUCGGAUCGUAAAACCCUGUUGUUAGAGAAGAAAGUGCGUGAGAGUAACUGUUCACGUUUCGACGGUAUCUAACCAGAAAGCCACGGCUAACUACGUGCCAGCAGCCGCGGUAAUACGUAGGUGGCAAGCGUUAUCCGGAAUUAUUGGGCGUAAAGGGAACGAAGGCGGUCUUUUAAGUCUGGUGUGAAAGCCUUCGGCUUAACCGGGGAAGUGCAUUGGAAACUGGGAGACUGGAGUGCAGAAGAGGAGAGUGGAACUCCAUGUGUAGGAGUGAAAUGCGUAGAUAUAUGGAGGAACACCAGUGGCGAAAGCGACUCUCUGGUCUGUAACUGACGCUGAGGUUCGAAAGCGUGGGUAGCAAACAGGAUUAGAUACCCCGGUAGUC